AGUGUUGUGGCUCAGUGGUAGAGUGCUUGCCUAGCAUGCAUGAGGCACUGGGUUCGGUCCCCAACACUA
rnacentral:tRNA from 1 species